GAUGAACGCUGGCGGCGUGCCUAAUACAUGCAAGUCGAGCGAACGGACGAGAAGCUUGCUUCUCUGAUGUUAGCGGCGGACGGGUGAGUAACACGUGGAUAACCUACCUAUAAGACUGGGAUAACUUCGGGAAACCGGAGCUAAUACCGGAUAAUAUUUUGAACCGCAUGGUUCAAAAGUGAAAGACGGUCUUGCUGUCACUUAUAGAUGGAUCCGCGCUGCAUUAGCUAGUUGGUAAGGUAACGGCUUACCAAGGCAACGAUGCAUAGCCGACCUGAGAGGGGGAUCGGCAACACUGGAACUGAGACACGGUCCAGACUCCUACGGGAGGCAGCAGUAGGGAAUCUUCCGCAAUGGGCGAAAGCCUGACGGAGCAACGCCGCGUGAGUGAUGAAGGUCUUCGGAUCGUAAAACUCUGUUAUUAGGGAAGAACAUAUGUGUAAGUAACUGUGCACAUCUUGACGGUACCUAAUCAGAAAGCCACGGCUAACUACGU
rnacentral:rRNA from 1 species